rnacentral:rRNA from 1 species
GGAUCCAGACUUUGAUCAUGGCUCAGGACGAACGCUGGCGGCGUGCUUAACACAUGCAAGUCGAACGAGAAUCUACUGAAAGAGUUUUCGGACAAUGGAUGUAGAGGAAAGUGGCGGACGGGUGAGUAACGCGUGAGGAACCUGCCUUGAAGAGGGGGACAACAGUUGGAAACGACUGCUAAUACCGCAUGAUGCAUAGGGGUCGCAUGAUCUUUAUGCCAAAGAUUUAUCGCUUCAAGAUGGCCACGCGUCUGAUUAGCUAGUUGGCGGGGUAACGGCCCACCAAGGCGACGAUCAGUAGCCGGACUGAGAGGUUGAACGGCCACAUUGGGACUGAGAUACGGCCCAGACUCCUACGGGAGGCAGCAGUGGGGAAUAUUGGGCAAUGGGCGCAAGCCUGACCCAGCAACGCCGCGUGAAGGAAGAAGGCUUUCGGGUUGUAAACUUCUUUUAAGAGGGAAGAGCAGAAGACGGUACCUCUAGAAUAAGCCACGGCUAACUACGUGCCAGCAGCCGCGGUAAUACGUAGGUGGCAAGCGUUGUCCGGAUUUACUGGGUGUAAAGGGCGUGCAGCCGGGUCUGCAAGUCAGAUGUGAAAUCCAUGGGCUCAACCCAUGAACUGCAUUUGAAACUGUAGAUCUUGAGUGUCGGAGGGGCAAUCGGAAUUCCUAGUGUAGCGGUGAAAUGCGUAGAUAUUAGGAGGAACACCAGUGGCGAAGGCGGAUUGCUGGACGAUAACUGACGGUGAGGCGCGAAAGUGUGGGGAGCAAACAGGAUUAGAUACCCUGGUAGUCCACACUGUAAACGAUGAAUACUAGGUGUGCGGGGACUGACCCCCUGCGUGCCGCAGUAAACACAAUAAGUAUUCCACCUGGGGAGUACGAUCGCAAGGUUGCAACUCAAAUGAAUUGACGG